GGCCAUGGAGGAGAGUAGGCGGAGAGAGUGGCCAUUGAUCAAGGAUCUAAAAGGAAUUUUGGAGGAGUCCGGGAAGCGAUUGUGAAAAGGAUGGAGAUAGGUAUACUUAGCAGCGGAGGAGACGAAAUUUCAUUGAAAAUACGAUGUUGUCCCUGUUUGUUGGAAAGUUUCUUGAGAGGAUUAACAUUAAGGAAAGGGAGAGAUUAGUCC
rnacentral:misc_RNA from 1 species